rnacentral:sRNA from 1 species
GCUGGGUGUAGUGGUGCACACCUAUAAUUCCAGCAACUUGGGAGGCUGAGGCAGGAGGAGGCUGAGGAGAAGGCUAAGUGGAUGAGUGGAUAAGUGGAUGAGGAGGCCAGCCUCAUCCACUUAGCAAGACUCUGUCUCCA